rnacentral:lncRNA from 1 species
AUCCAUCCACCAUCCGCCCUCUCUUUCUUCCCUUUUUCUUCUCUCGGCGGAAUCCGAUAUGUACAUCUUCCCCAUCCACCCACUAUUUCUUCCGCUUUUCUUCUCUUGACGGCCGGAAUGAAGGACCACCAUAACAUAAAACGCAAAAGAAGACAGAACCAGAAAAAAUCGAUGAUGACAAGGCUUAAUCCCGACGAUCGGAUCUGAAAUCGACAAGCAGAUCUUUGUGAGGGAUUUUUGUGCAGAACAUUGCUUCGUGAUAUUGGUGUUUCGACCAGGUACGUAUUUGUGGGGAAUUUCAUUCCCCUGUGUGUGUGUACAUAUAUAUAUAUAGACAGACUAAUGUUGAUUCAUGAAAAAAAGAGAACUCCAUAAAAAUAUAAAACUUGAUUCACAUGAAUAACUUUGUGAUAACGGUGAAUGAGUGCAAAAAUUCUUCUGAUUUCAAACAUGUUUUGGUUUUGAAAUUUGAUAAUGUUUGAUUUCAAACAUGUUUGGGUUUUGAGAUUUGAUAAUUUUUAGUAAGGAAUACAAUACGAAUUAAUAAGGUGAAACACUAAAUAUUAUCGAAAAUUCCAUGAUUUCCAAAAAUAUUCUCAAAUUUUGGAUAUUUUUUUCUGAAAAUUUAGAAUUAUAAUUUAUUUAUUGUAUUUUUUAGCUGCAAUUGGCUUGGCUAUUGUUUGGCUGCUAUUUUGCUGAUUUUCUUUGCUGCUGUUUUUUGCUGCUGUUUUUGCUGCUGUUUUGCGGCUGAUUUUGUUGCUGUUUUGCUGUUGUUUUCGUGUUGUUUUGCUCCUGUUUAAGAUGUUGGUUUGCUGCUGUGUUUGUUGCUGUCAUUUUUUCUCUAUAUCCAUAAAUAAAUUUUACACGAUGGUUAACAAAGUAGAAGUGACAACUAGUCGAAUUGUUGAAUGAGCUAUUAUAUAUAUGAGAUUUUCAAUAUACUUUUGAGGCUCCUUCACGUUUUCGGUCACUAUUUGAGUAUUUGUUAUUAUACUUUUUGUUGUAAUUUUUUAGUGGAUUAACUUAUUUCGUAGUGGAUUAUGUUAAUAUUUUAGUGGAUUACGAUAACUUUUGUAUUGGGUUUUGACGAGAUUAUAGUGGAUUUUAAAUUCUUGUUUUUUUAGUGAAUGAAUUAAAUUGACACAUUGUUGUCUUAUUUUUCUUUGGUUUAGAUUCAUGCACAAGCGGGUGAUGGCAGCAAGUGGGACCAUGUUGGGUGAUGAUAAGCUUGUAGUGUUUUUCGAUGAAUUUAUAGUGGUUUUCAAUGAGUAUGUAGUGGUUUUCAAUCGAAUAGUGGUUUUCGAUAAAUUUAUAGUGGUUUUCAAUGAGUAUGUAGUGGAUUUCAAUCCAUAUAUUACGUUAAUUUUGUAGUGGAUUUUGAUAACUUUUGUAGUGGAUUUUCAUAAUUUUGUAAUGGAUUACGUUAAUUCGUAUUGGAUUAUUUAAAUAUUUAUUCAAUUUCGAUACGUUAUUACGUUAAUUUUGUAGUGGUUUUUGAUAAUUUUGUAAUGGAUUACGUUAAUUCGUAGUGGAUUAUGUAAAUAUUUAUUCGAUUUCGGUACGUUAUUACGUUAA